rnacentral:lncRNA from 1 species
CAUAGUGAAAGAAAAAGACAAAGCGAGAAACAUGAGGUAAUACUAAGCUUCCCGCCAACCUCUCUGCUCUCCUCGAAACACUCAGAAAGACUUCGGCGCGCGCGCUCAGCCCGCCCACUUUAUAAGCCUCUACACGUGGGUUCCCCCCUCCCGCCCGUUUGCCCCGCCCCGUUCUUCACAGGAGCCAAUCACCAGCGGCGGAGACUCUCUCCUGCUUCCCCUUUCUCGCGCCGGGGCUCCAUGCUCUCGCGAGAUUGGGUUAGUAAACAGCUCGCCCCCUCAGCCUCCCUCCCCAUUCGAGGCACCGGAGAGGGAAGUGGACGGGCGCUUCCAGGCUGGUGUGGAGGGAGCCGGGCGAGCGGGAGAAGCGGCCGGAGAUUAGGGAUUGUCUGCUUUUGUCUUCUCCAUGGCCACUCUUGUCUGUAGAAGCAGUUGUCCAAGGAGCAAAUGGAUGGUCAGCUUUGUAAGUAAGGCAGCACCCCCUGUCAGUAAGACUACAUCAGUCAUGUAGCGUGUGUGCUCAAAUACAUCAUACAAAACCUAAAAUAGGUGUUUUUUUUCAGAAUUAAUGAAACUCAUAGGUGACUACAUUAGUGACUGCUGUUGCUUUUUGAUAAAAAUGGGAGACAUAUAAAACUUCUUUGUAUCAAGAUCUGGCUUGCAGCUUUUGAAUUCAGCUAUUUGUACUGUAGGUUAAACUUUCUGAGUUGAUUCUUCACAGUAGCUUGGUUUAAUGUUUGUAAGGGAAUUUAUAAACUUUUUUCAGAUCUAUGGAUUAAGAUUGUGGUGUAUAAUAUUGAAGUUGAUUGUUGUGUGUCUGCUCCCCCCCCCCCCCCGUUUUAUCCUCUUAAUGGACAUAUUUUUAUAUUCUCUCAAAUGCAAUGAGAGGAAUUAAAAUUUUGAAACAGUUUGAUCUGAAAGUAUAUUCUGAGAGAUAUGUAGCAAGUUUAUCUGUUAGGACAAUAAAAGAAUUACGUUAAAUGCCAUUUUAUUAACUCUGAUAUGAAAAGUAAACUGGCAUUAUGUAGUAAAUUGCUCAGUUUUGUUGAUCUUGUGAAGGCUUUUCAUAUCUUGGGUAAUGAUGGUAGGCAUAAAUCAAACAUCCUAUUGAAAAUAAACUUGAUUCAUCUUUUCUCACUUCCUUUUCAUUUGAUUUAGGUAUUUAAAGAUUUGCUAUCAUCUAUAAUUGCAUUAUUGUGUUCUUCGGAGUAUGAGUACUCUAAACAAACAGCAUUACUAAAGUUGAAUUGCCUAAGAAACAUUUUAUCUCAUGUUGAUCUGAAAAAAGUGUGCUAAGUUAAUCUAAAAAUCUGUUGGCUGUACAUGAUAAAGUUGAAAAGUCAAUUUCCCUUUUAAAAAUUAUAUUGGUUUUUUGGGCAGGGGAAAUAAUGAAGAACUGGGUCAUGAUUGAUUGUCCCUGCCAUUUUGCAUUUUGGUUCUCUAAAUUUUGGCCUUGUGUUUGAGGAGUGUAGGGAGGAGUUGGCCUUUCCCAGAGGAAGAGUAUCAGUUUGGAUGGUUCCCAACCUUUGGUCUUUCAAGAUUUUUUGAACUUCCAACUCCCAGAAAUUUCAGUCAUCUUACCAGCUGCUAGAAAUUCUGGAAACUAAGGUCCAGAACACUUGGAGAACCAAAGGUUGGGAACCUCUGGUUUAGAUGAUCUUACCCAACUAAGCAAAUGCUAUAUUUCAUCGCACAAUAGUCACCAUCAUAUAAUAAUCACAUCCCAAGCUUUUUGGUCCCGGUUUUGGUAUUUUCAAAUUCCACAUAUAAUAGUCACACCCUUAAUUUACUGGUAGGCAGCUUCCCUAUAGUAAACACCCACCCACUCGCCUGCCUGCCCACCCACCCGCUUGAUUCACUCGUCUGUCCGUUCGAACAACCAUCUAUCCACUGCAUUCAAGUGGCAUUUUUGGAAGGGGGUGGGUGUCUGGAAUGAGUGUUUGUGGGCAAGUGAGAGAGUGCAUGGGGUUGUGAGUGAGUGAAGCAGGCAGGUGUGUCUUUGGGCAGAAUGAUGGGCGAGUGAGUGAGUGAUGCACCCUUGCUCAAAGUGAUUGGCAAGCAGUAAAGCUCUUUAGGGUAAGGCAGAAAGACAUUUGGAAUGAAUGCUGAAGUGUCUAUAUCGCUGAGGUUGUCUUCCUACACAGAACUGCUGACCAUGAAUCAGGGUAAAUUCGUAUGGAGGUUACUUAGCACAGUUCUGAUUGAGAGUCUUUGUUUUUACUGAGGAGCAUGGAAACAGAGCUUCAGAAAAGCAGUUUUCUGUAAAUGAGAGGUUCCUGUAUGACUGGCAAAAAGUGAAAGACAAGUUAGAGAAAACCACCCUUAUUCAGUGCAUUUAGAGGUCCCAAAUCAAGCAAGUUUUCACAAAUUGAUG